UGGGGGAUAUUGCACAAUGGGCGAAAGCCUGAUGCAGCGACGCCGCGUGGGGGAUGAAGGCCUUCGGGUUGUAAACUUCUUUUGCUCUGAACAAGGCAUGCUAAUGGGUGUGUUGAGUGUAGGGGUUGAUUAGCGCCGGCUAACUACGUGCCAGCAGCCGCGGUAAUACGUAGGGCGCGAGCGUUGUCCGGAAUUAUUGGGCGUAAAGGGCUUGUAGGUGGCUGGUUGCGUCUGUCGUGAAAGCUCAUGGCUUAACUGUGGGUUUGCGGUGGGUACGGGCUGGCUUGAGUGCAGUAGGGGAGGCUGGAAUUCCUGGUGUAGCGGUGGAAUGUGCAGAUAUCAGGAGGAGUACCGGUGGCGAAGGCGGGUCUCUGGGCUGUUACUGACACUGAGGAGCGAAAGCAUGGGGAGCGAACAGG
rnacentral:rRNA from 1 species